AAAUCAGUUAUGGUUCACUAGAUCGUACAGUUUACAUGGAUAACUGUGGUAAUUCUAGAGCUAAUACAUGCAACCAGUCCGUGCCCUCGUGGUGCGGACGCAGUUAUUUGCCCAAGACCAAUCCGGCCCUCGGGUCGUUCAAUUGGUGACUCUGAAUAACCGAAGCAGAGCGCUUAGUCUCGUACUGGCGCCAGAUCUUUCAAGUGUCUGACUUAUCAGCUUGUUGUUAGGUUAUGUUCCUAACAAGGCUCUCACGGGUAACGGAGUGUCAGGGCCCGACACCGGAGAGGGAGCCUGAGAAACGGCUACCACAUCCAAGGAAGGCAGCAGGCGCGCAAAUUACCCACUCCCGGCACGGGGAGGUAGUGACGAAAAAUAACGAUGCGAGAGCUUUUAGCUUCUCGUAAUCGGAAUGGGUACACUUUAAAUCCUUUAACGAGGAUCUAUUGGAGGGCAAGUCUGGUGCCAGCAGCCGCGGUAAUUCCAGCUCCAAUAGCGUAUAUUAAAGUUGCUGCGGUUAAAAAGCUCGUAGUUGGAUCUGGGUAGUCGAUGGACGGUGCUUCGUAAGGAGCUACUGCCCGUUCGGCACCACAGCCCGGCCAUGUCUUGCAUGCUCUUCACUGAGUGUGCUUGGCGACCGGAACGUUUACUUUGAAAAAAUUAGAGUGCUCAAAGCAGGCGUUAAGCCUUGUAUAAUGGUGCAUGGGAUAAUGGAAUAAGAUUUUUGNUUUNAGAGGCCNAGAAGGUNAUNGAU
rnacentral:rRNA from 1 species